rnacentral:lncRNA from 1 species
GGGGGCUCCUUGAAAGGGCUUGGGGGACUUCGGGUUCAGCAUCGAAAGGGACUUCGACGGCGAUGGCCAUUAGAGCAGGCACGGUCGAGCUUGUCCCUUCUGUCCUGGCUUUCUUCACCGACCCCAAAGUCGAGGCAUCUUUUCUCUUGUGGGUCUUGAGACCCUGGGCUAACCUUCGAGCCAUGCUUGCAUCCAUAUCUGCAAUAAAAGAAGAUCAACCAGCUCAG